GUGGAGUUGUGCCAGCAGCCUUGAAGGAAGUCUCCACCUGGCAGGCAUUGCAUGGGCUGAGAAUGCUUUUGAUGAAGAGAUGAGCAACAGCAACUCUUUGCAGCUCUGUCGCAAAGGACUUUGAGCACCAAAUCUGCUGCAAAGAUGGAAGACUGGAAGACACAGAUGACAGUCAGCUCUCCCAUGGAGGUCUGCUUCUCACCAGCCUUUUUACCCUCCCAGACUCGUGGAGUCCUGGCAGCAGCCCUGAAGUGAGUCUCCCCCUGGCAGACGUCAUUACAUGGGCUGAGAAUGCUCUGGAUAAUGAGACAAGAGCGACUCUGACACUGCUGAAGCUGUUUCCAGCUCUGUCACAGAGGAUGCAACUACAGUUCCACUCUGCAUGCUCCCAUCACUGCUCCAGAGAAGGCUGCAGAGGAACCCCAAAGAGAGGCCUGGGUUUUCUCAGAGAAGCAAUUAAAUAUUCUUCUCCAUCACUUCAGUCUGUAGACUCAUCCCACCUGAAAUGGAAGAGCUGGCAGAGCUGACAGGACUGACCUACAAACAGGUGAAGACUUUCAGAACAGAAGAGCAACAAUGAGGAGGAGAAACUAAGAUGCCACAUGUCCCUCAUAGAGAGGGACAGCCUCCACUCAGGGAGCACUACAACCAGCCUGGGAUAGAGACCCCCCCCCAUUGAUGCUUCAUUAAAACAGGCUGUUUUUAUAUAUUUCUGUUUCAAAGUUACUGAUGC